rfam:Felis catus isolate Cinnamon breed Abyssinian chromosome A3, whole genome shotgun sequence.
GCCUGGGUGGCUCAGUCGGUUGAGCGUCUGACUUCGGCUCAGGUCAUGAUCUCACGGUCCGUGAGUUCGAGCCCCACGUCGGGCU